AUUUCUGUGGUCGUGUAAUUUAAGUAUUCCCAGGAAGACACGCUGGUGGAUACAAGACAGAAAAGUGACCCAAAACAGCCAUAGAGCAAAUGCAUCCUCCCACAGUGCUUCUGUUUGCUGCAAGGAGCGCAUGGCUGGAUAUGUAUAAAUCACAGCCCCAUUUAUGUGGAGGAAGACUGUAAAGAAAGCUUAAGCUCAUCCAGACCACUGCUGAAGGUUCUGUGUGGGGGGGAAAUGCUCACCAAGCUGCAGGAAACCAUCAAAUAACCCAAAGGAAACACAGAUGCCGGCUGAUUUAACGUGUCCCCAUUUGCAGUCUAUAAAUACCUCUGUGGUGAGCUCUGAAGAUCUCAGUUUAUCUGUGACGGGGAAAUGCAGGCAGAAAGCAGCCUCACAGACAAAUGGAAUGGAUUUCACAGCACCGCCAUUUGUUGCCUCUCCUUCCGCUGUGCCGCUUACACCACGGAAACAGCCCUGCAGCCCUAAUGGGAAACCUGUCCUACCCGGGCUCUAUGGCUUUAGGAAGGAUAUCGUCGGUGCUGUUGUGGCUUCAGUGCUCAACCACAGCUCCGGGUGUCAGAGCGUGCAGCAGGUGGGAAGCACUCACACGAGGGCGUGGGGCGGCUGCCGGUGCGGUGCAAGGAGACAGCGGCUGAGAACACGGCCGAGCACAGAGCCAAAGCGGCUCCUGGGGAGCGCCGGUGGGCACCACUGCAAGGGGAGAGCUUCAGAGCUUCAGAGCUUCAGAGCGAGCGUCUGCAGGAUUUCUUAGCCGCGGAGCAUGCUGUGGAAGGCUUGCAUUUAACUCUCUCAUUGCCACGUCCUUUCCUCUUUUCUUGCCUUGCUUUCUGCCUGUGGGUAGAUAAGGACAGCUCCCAGUCAGGUGUUCUUUUUCCAGAGGUCAGUGGAAGUCCCGUUCUCUCAAGGCAGCAGCACACUGAGAAUCAUUGCUGUGCUUUUCAGAGCUACAGGAGCACUGUGCUGUGUCACUGCAUGCCCACAGGGAUCAGCUGUGCACACACACAGCUCUGAUCACCAGCAUGACAUGGAAGCUAAGGCUGGGUGGAUUAAGGAGCUGGCUUAUGGAUGGUGAAUGGAAGUCCCAUUAGCCAUCAGCAAGGUCCAGUCUGUGCAUGCGAAAUGGUGAGUUGCAAGAUGCUGCAAAAUUGGAAAGUGUUGCUCUGUAGUACCAGGGAACAUUAACAAGUGUAAUGGGUUUGCAUGACGCAAAUAGGGUGAAUGGCAGAAUGGAUUCAUGUCUUUUUGUUUUCUUUCCAGCUUGUUAUUAUCUCAAGGAAAAAAAAACACUAAUUACCAGAAGCUAAUAGCUAGUGUGUUACUUACCCUCUUAAUUAGUACCCUAAUUAUUAAGUGCAGUGAUAACCACUAGUUAGAGCAUAUUUACUCUUUAAGACUUUCUUGUUAUCUGUCUUUCCACUCCCUCUUUUUAAUAUUGCUGACACCAGUGGAGCUGCUGCAGAGAGAAUACAGCAAAUUUCCCCUCGGGAAAGGCAGCAUUUUGAGCCCCCUCUGUGCUGCCACCACUUUUAUUCUGUUGUAAAUUGCUUUUCACUCAGAACUGUUGGCUUGUGUUCAGUUCUGACAUCAAGAAGUUAAGAUCUGCAAUUGGAAAGAUGAACGCAAAGGAGCAGAAAAGGUCACCUCAGUGGCACGAGGCCUUGCUCAAAGCUUGCCACCUGGGGGGCAGGAGGGCUUCUGAAUGUGCUUGUUGGCCGCCCAGCUCCACAUCCUGAAGCAGCCAGUGAAAUACUCCCCAUCGCCUCUGUCUGAAGUCAUGAGGACACCAUGGGCUGUGUUUGCUGUAGUGCCCUGGUAAGCUUUGCUCACUGUCCUUUGGAGUAGGAGCCUGCACUGCAAGAGGAGGAGGUGGCUGAGCAGAGCUUGGAUGUUCUCAAGUGAAAUGGCAAGCAACUUCUUGUGGAUUCUUAGUAAAACAGACAUUCGAAUGGUAAAUUAAACCUAAAUACCUGCCAAAAUACUUGUAUUGAGGUGAUUGACUUUUAUGGGCCACUGCCAGAAGUUGGCAGAACAACUUUUUCAUGGAGUCUAAUGAACUCUCUCCAGGGAGCAGUACACUGUGGGCAGCUGAAGCCUGUGAGUUAAGAUGUGUCUCAGGGGAAGACAGGUCUCUUGGCUACAGAGCAGAGCGGGGUGACACCAGAAAACAUACUUAGCUGUAAAAUCUAAUGGAAGGAGCAAGACAUCCCUGCUCUCGGCCCUUGAUUCUUGGCAGUGUGGAUUACAAAAUGCUGCUUAGAGGAUGUGGAUUAGGAGAGAUGUUAACUACGUGUACUGUCACUGUUUCCAUUGCCUCAUUAUUACACACGGUGUUUCACACUGAUUUGACAUUGUCUCUGCCCUAAGGAGCUUGAAAUCUGAAGGCAAAACCCUGUGACCGUGUGAAAUGCAAGCAUUUCAAGGCAGGCACUGCAAAGGGGAUUUGUGGGACUGUGAACAAAUGCAUUCUAUUCAACAUAUCAAAGCAGGGAGCAGGCAGGGAGGCAGAGGUAAACACCAGGAGCAGAAGAGGAAGAUAACAGAAGAGCCCUAAUUGUUGCCAGCUUGAUUCCAGCCUCGUUCGCCCCAACAGAAUUCUCUGCAUCUUUGUCAGUGGAGGACUGUUCUACCCAGAGAGCUGGAGAGGAAGGAGACCAUUUCUUGCUGGGGCUUUGGCUCCCCAGCACAUGCCAUCAGCACUCCCUCUGCUCACUGAGCCCCAGCUCCUGUAUGCUGGUCACCAGAAAAAAAAAGCCAAAGCAAUGUAGGCCUCACAUCAUGUGAGAUCCCAGCCAAUCGAAGAGCGUUACUUAAAUUUCGCUUCAACCUGCUCUAUCCCAUAGAGAAGUGGAGUUUGAGCUUCUGUGGGUGCUUCCUGCUUUCCACAAGAAAUGAGAGUUCCUGAGAAAAGGCAAGUGCCUUUGUUUGGCUUUGGAGUUUGGGUUUCGAAGAGACUCAGGUGUUCUGGUGAGAGCUGAAGGGUGCUUCGUGGCCUGACCCAGCAGGGCAGAACAGCAAGGAGUAAAGGAGGAAUAUGCUUCAUAAAAUCCUGCUUCCGAAAAUCCCAAAUGAUUGGUUUCUCCUGAAAAUGCAGUCUCUUUGCUAUCAUGAUCAACUGCUUGCUCAAGCACUGCUUCUACGCAUUCAAGGAAAAAAAUCUGUGCCUGCUAAAAGAUACUUAGAAAAGAACAGUGAAAGAGAAAGCACACCUACUGUCCACUUUAUGAAGUACAAGUACAUACCAAGUAUAUACUGAAACAUGGCUCAGCCUAACAUGUGGGUGAAAAAACAGUUUCAAGUCACAACCAGCUGCCCAUUCCCGAUGCCCUGAGCCCUGGUUUCCCAACUGCC
rnacentral:lncRNA from 1 species